GGCGAACGCUGGCGGCGUGCCUAAUACAUGCAAGUAGAACGCUGAAACUUGGUGCUUGCACCGAGCGGAUGAGUUGCGAACGGGUGAGUAACGCGUAGGUAACCUGCCUGGUAGCGGGGGAUAACUAUUGGAAACGAUAGCUAAUACCGCAUAAGAGUAGAUGUUGCAUGACAUUUGCUUAAAAGGUGCAAUUGCACCACUACCAGAUGGACCUGCGUUGUAUUAGCUAGUUGGUGGGGUAACGGCUCACCAAGGCGACGAUACAUAGCCGACCUGAGAGGGUGAUCGGCCACACUGGGACUGAGACACGGCCCAGACUCCUACGGGAGGCAGCAGUAGGGAAUCUUCGGCAAUGGACGGAAGUCUGACCGAGCAACGCCGCGUGAGUGAAGAAGGUUUUCGGAUCGUAAAGCUCUGUUGUAAGAGAAGAACGAGUGUGAGAGUGGAAAGUUCACACUGUGACGGUAUCUUACCAGAAAGGGACGGCUAACUACGUG
rnacentral:rRNA from 1 species